rnacentral:rRNA from 1 species
UUUGUUACUUCAAACCAAUCGGACUUCGGUCUGACAUCAAGUGAUAUUGAACAAUUUAGCUGAUCGCACGGUCUAAGAACCGGCGACAUAUCCUUCAAAUGUCUGCCUUAUCAACUUUCGAUGGUAGAUUAUGCGCCUACCAUGGUUGUAACGGGUAACGGAGAAUCRGGGUUUGAUUCCGGAGAGGGAGCCUGARAAACGGCUACCACAUCCAAGGAAGGCAGCAGGCACGCAAAUUACCCACUCCCGGCACGGGGAGGUAGUGACGAAAAAUAACAAGCUGGUCUCAAUGAGUUCCAGCAUUGUAAUGGGAACAAUUUAAAUCUUUUAUCGAGGAUCUAUUGGAGGGCAAGUCUGGUGCCAGCAGCCGCGGUAAUUCCAGCUCCAAUAGCGUAUAUUAAAGUUGUUGCGGUUAAAAAGCUCGUAGUUGGAUCUAGGAUUAGGGCUACGGUCGUUCAGCUUGGACGUACUGUAUGCCCGACUCCUUUUCUCUAGUAUUCGAUUGUUGCUCUUAAAKGAGUGACUUUAGUUGCUGGAACUUUUACCUUGAAAAAAUUGAAGUGAUCAAAGCAGGUU